GGCCCAAUAGCUAGCCCACCCACCCAACUAACAACCAACUAUAAAUAACCCCUAAUACCCUAAAUUAGAAACAAACAAACCAUUUUUCCGUCCUAGUAUGUGCGACAGAAAAG
rnacentral:rRNA from 1 species